CCUGAACGCUGGCGGCGUGGCUAAGACAUGCAAGUCGCACGGUGUAGCAAUACACAGUGGCGAACGGGUGAGUAAUGAAUCGCUAACGUACCCCGGACUCUGGGAUAGCUAACCGAAAGGUUAGGUAAUACCAGAUGAUAUAACCCUUCCGCAUGGUUGGGUUCUCAAAGGUCCGCCGGUCUGGGAGCGGGCGAUUUCGUAUCAGCUAGUUGGCGGGGUAACGGCCCACCAAGGCGACGACGCGAGCCGGACUGAGAGGUUGGCCGGCCACAUUGGGACUGAGACACUGCCCAGACUCCUACGGGGGGCGUGCAGUAACGAAUCUUCCGCAAUGCCCG
rnacentral:rRNA from 1 species